UUAGGUACAUAAGCCAUGUAGAUUGUUUACUUCUUACUAACCAAAUGUAGAGCUUGUUAGUAGAAGCUCUGCCUACUAUGCAGUUUAUAUUAUCAGAAAUCUGCUU